AUAUUCGGUAAAGGUUUCGGUCGGUCAGUCAGGAUAUUCGGUAAAGGUUUCGGUCGGUCAGUCAGUAUAUUCGGUAAAGGUUUCGGUCGGUCAGUCAGGAUAUUCGGUAAAGGUUUCGGUCAGUCAGGAUAUUCGGUAAAGGUUUCGGUCGGUCAGUCAGGAUAUUCGGUAAAGGUUUCGGCCGGUCAGUCAGGAUAUUCGGUAAAGGUUUCGGUCAGUCAGGAUAUUCGGUAAAGGUUUCGGUCAGUCAGGAUAUUCGGUAAAGGUUUCGGUCAGUCAGUAUAUUCGGUAAAGGUUUCGGUCGGUCAGUCAGGAUAUUCGGUAAAGGUUUCGGUCAGUCAGGAUAUUCGGUAAAGGUUUCGGUCGGUCAGUCAGGAUAUUCGGUAAAGGUUUCGGCCGGUCAGUCAGGAUAUUCGGUAAAGGUUUCGGUCAGUCAGGAUAUUCGGUAAAGGUUUCGGUCAGUCAGGAUAUUCGGUAAAGGUUUCGGUCAGUCAGUAUAUUCGGUAAAGGUUUUGGCCGGUCAGUCAGGAUAUUCGGUAAAGGUUUCGGUCAGUCAGUAUAUUCGGUAAAGGUUUCGGUCGGUCAGUCAGGAUAUUCGGUAAAGG
rnacentral:lncRNA from 1 species